rnacentral:rRNA from 1 species
GAUCCUGGCUCAGGACGAACGCUGGCGGCGUGCCUAACACAUGCAAGUCGAACGGGGUUAUAUAAGAAGCUUGCUUUGAAUAUAACCAAGUGGCGGACGGGUGAGUAACGCGUGAGGACCUGUCUCCGGCAGGGGGACAACAUUUGGAAACGGAUGCUAAUACCGCAUAAGCCGAGAGGUGAAAGGAGCAAUCCGGCAGGAGAGGGACUCGCGUUCUAUCAGCUAGUAGGCGGGGUAAAGGCCCACCUAGGCG